rnacentral:rRNA from 1 species
GAGUAACCUGCCCCUGACUCUGGGAUAAGCCCGGGAAACUGGGUCUAAUACCGGAUAUGACCAUGGCACGCAUGUCUUGUGGUGGAAAGAUUUAUCGGUUGGGGAUGGACUCGCGGCCUAUCAGCUUGUUGGUGAGGUAAUGGCUCACCAAGGCGACGACGGGUAGCCGGCCUGAGAGGGUGACCGGCCACACUGUGACUGAUACACGGCCCAGACUCCUACGGGAGGCAGUAGUGGGGAAUAUUGCACAAUGGGCGCAAGCCUGAUGCAGCGACGCCGCGUGAGGGAUGACGGCCUUCUGGUUGUAAACCUCUUUCUGUAGGGAAUAAGCGAGAGUGACGGUACCUGCAUAAGAAGCGCCGGCUAACUACUUGCCAGCAUCCGCGGUAAUACGUAUGGCUCAAGCGUUAUCCGGAUUUAUUUGGGCGUAAAGAGCUCGUAUGCGGUUUGUCGCGUCUGCCGUGAAAUUCCGAGGCUCAU